GACGAACGCUGGCGGCGUGCUUAACACAUGCAAGUCGAACGGAAAGGCCUGUCCUUCCUUGUGUUGGACGGGUACUCGAGUGGCGAACGGGUGAGUAACACGUGAGUGAUCUGCCCCCAACUUGGGUAUAAGCCUGGGAAACUGGGUCUAAUUCCCGAUAGGACUGCAGGGUGGUGCCUGUGGUGGAACACGAUUUUCUAGUGGUUGGGGAUGAGCUCGCUGCCUAUCAGCUUGUUGGUGGGGUAAUGGCCUACCAAGGCGGCGACGGGUAGCCGGCCUGAGAUGGUGGACGGCCACAUUGGGACUGAGAUACGGCCCAGACUCCUACGGGAGGCAGCAGUGGGGAAUAUUGCACAAUGAGCGGAAGCCUGAUGCAGCGACUCCGCGUGGGGGAUGACGGCCUUCGGGUUGUAAACUCCUUUCGACCGCGAGGAAGCCGCCUGGUUGGAAGGGUGGUGACGGUAGUGGUAGAAGAAGCACCGGCUAACUACGUG
rnacentral:rRNA from 1 species